rnacentral:rRNA from 1 species
CCUACGGGGGGCUGCAGUAGGGAAUUUUCCACAAUGGACGAAAGUCUGAUGGAGCAACGCCGCGUGUGUGAUGAAGGGUUUCGGCUCGUAAAACACUGUUGUAAGAGAAGAAUGACAUUGAGAGUAACUGUUCAGUGUGUGACGGUAUCUUACCAGAAAGGAACGUCUAAAUACGUGCCAGCAGCCGCGGUAAUACGUAUGUUCCAAGCGUUAUCCGGAUAUAUUGGGCGUAAAGCGGGCGCAGCCGGUUAUUUAACUCCGAAUUAAAAGCCCACAGCAUAACUGUGGAAGUGCUUUGGAGACUGGAUAACUGGAGUGGAGUAGAGGAGAGUGGAACUCCAUGUGUAGCGGUGAAAUGCGUAGAUAUAUGGAAGAACACCAGUGGCGAAGGCGGCUCUAUGGACUGUAUCUGACUUUGAGUCUCGAAAGUGUGGGUAGCAAACAGGAUUAGAUACCCCAGUAGUC